UACGUAGGGGGCAAGCGUUGUCCGGAUUAUUGGGCGUAAAGAGCGUGUAGGCGGCCGUACAGGUCAGCUGUGAAAACUCGAGGCUCAACCUCGAGACGUCGGUUGAAACCGUACGGCUAGAGUCCGGAAGAGGAGAGUGGAAUUCCCGGUGUAGCGGUGAAAUGCGCAGAUAUCGGGAAGAACACCCGUGGCGAAGGCGGCUCUCUGGGACGGUACUGACGCUGAGGCACGAAAGCGUGGGGAGCAAACAGG
rnacentral:rRNA from 1 species